rnacentral:tRNA from 2 species
GUUAAUUUAGCUUAUUUAUUUAAAGCUCAGCACUGAAAAUGCUGCCAAGGUUUGUAAAACCAUUAAACA